CCUACGGGUGGCUGCAGUCGAGAAUCAUUCACAAUGGGGGAAACCCUGAUGGUGCGACGCCGCGUGGGGGAAUGAAGGUCUUCGGAUUGUAAACCCCUGUCAUGUGGGAGCAAAUUAAAAAGAUAGUACCACAAGAGGAAGAGACGGCUAACUCUGUGCCAGCAGCCGCGGUAAUACAGAGGUCUCAAGCGUUGUUCGGAAUCACUGGGCGUAAGGCGUGCGUAGGCUGUUUCGUAAGUCGUGUGUGAAAGGCGCGGGCUCAACCCGCGGACGGCACAUGAUACUGCGAGACUAGAGUAAUGGAGGGGGAACCGGAAGUCUCGGUGUAGCAGUGAAAUGCGUAGAUAUCGAGAGGAACACUCGUGGCGAAGGCGGGUUCCUGGACAUUAACUGACGCUGAGGCACGAAGGCCAGGGGAGCGAAAGGGAUUAGAUACCCGGGUAGUC
rnacentral:rRNA from 1 species